GACGAACGCUGGCGGCAUGCCUAACACAUGCAAGUCGAACGAGACCCCGACUUCGGUUGGACGUCUAGUGGCGCACGGGUGCGUAACGCGUGGGAAUCUGCCCUUGGGUUCGGAAUAACAGUUAGAAAUGACUGCUAAUACCGGAUGAUGUCUUCGGACCAAAGAUUUAUCGCCCAAGGAUGAGCCCGCGUAAGAUUAGCUAGUUGGUGGGGCAAUGGCCUACCAAGGCGACGAUCUUUAGCUGGUCUGAGAGGAUGAUCAGCCACACUGGGACUGAGACACGGCCCAGACUCCUACGGGAGGCAGCAGUGGGGAAUAUUGGACAAUGGGCGAAAGCCUGAUCCAGCAAUGCCGCGUGAGUGAUGAAGGCCUUAGGGUUGUAAAGCUCUUUUACCAGGGAUGGAUAAUGACAGUACCUGGGAGAAUAAGCUCCGGCUAGCUCCGUGCCAGCCGCCGCAGUAAC
rnacentral:rRNA from 1 species